rnacentral:rRNA from 1 species
UACGUAGGGCGCAAGCGUUAUCCGGAAUUAUUGGGCGUAAAGAGCUCGUAGGCGGUUUGUCGCGUCUGCUGUGAAAGACCGGGGCUCAACUCCGGUCUGCAGUGGGUACGGGCAGACUAGAGUGCGGUAGGGGAGAUUGGAAUUCCUGGUGUAGCGGUGGAAUGCGCAGAUAUCAGGAGGAACACCAAUGGCGAAGGCAGAUCUCUGGGCCGUAACUGACGCUGAGGAGCGAAAGCAUGGGGAGCGAACAGGAUUGAGACUACCGUAGUCAG